rnacentral:snoRNA from 1 species
AAGCAACACUCUGUGGCAGAUACUCAAAAUUGUCUGACACAAUUUGAGCUUGCUAUAGCAAGAAAGUCUAACCUAUUCCGGUGUUCUCUUCUCUGUGAGACUACCCGUUAUAUAGACUUAAACACU